AACAGAAGGCUUUGACACCUGACCUAGAGAGGAGACUCCCCCCACACCUGCUUUGGACUUCAAAGGCAUGAAAUCAGGACAUAAGCAAAUGAACCCCUCUGAAUAUGGCCCUAAGCCUAUAUAACAAUGCCUGAGGAGAAGAUUGCUGAGCCUAAGUGGCAAGGCAAGCAUGUUUCCUGGAGAAACUUGAGAAAAUAGAAGUAAUAAA